rnacentral:rRNA from 1 species
AACGAACGCUGGCGGCAUGCCUAACACAUGCAAGUCGAACGAAGGCUUCGGCCUUAGUGGCGCACGGGUGCGUAACGCGUGGGAAUCUGCCCCUCGGUUCGGAAUAACAGUUAGAAAUGACUGCUAAUACCGGAUGAUGACUUCGGUCCAAAGAUUUAUCGCCGAGGGAUGAGCCCGCGUAGGAUUAGGUAGUUGGUGGGGUAAAGGCCUACCAAGCCGACAAUCCUUAGCUCGUCUGAGAGGAUGAUCAGCCACACUGGGACUGAGACACGGCCCAGACUCCUACGAGAGGCAGCAGUGGGUAAUAUUGGACAAUGGGCGAAAGCCUGAUCCACGAAUGCCGCUUGAGUGAUGAAAGCCUUAGGGUUGUAAAGCUCUUUUACCAGGGAUGAUAAUGACAGUACCUGGAGAAUAAGCUCCGGCUAACUCCGUGCCAGCAGCCGCAGUAA